GGCAGUGCCUGUGACAUACCAACUAGAUGUCCGCCCCAUCAAUUGUUGACGGUAGGUAGUGGCUUACCGUGGUUGCAACGGGUAACGGGGAAUCAGGGUUCGAUUCCUGAGAGGGAGCAUGAGAAACGGCUGCCAGAUCUAUGGAUUGCAUCAGGUGCGUAAAUUAUCCACUUUUGGCAUAAAGAGAUAGUGAUGAUAAAUAACGGAUCUGGGCAUUUGCCCAGAGAUCGUAAUGAAAUAAUUGUAAAAGCUUUACUGAAAGCAAUUGGAGGGCAAGUCUGGUGCCAGCAGCCGCGGCAAUUCCUGUUCCAAAAGUGUAUACUAAAGUUGCUGCAGUUGAAAAGCUCGUAGUUGGAUCUCGGUUUGCUUGGUGCGUGAGUGCCCAGUAGGCCUGUGCUGUAGUUGAGUGCUACGGCUUUACCUUGAACAAAAUAGAGUGCUUAAGGCAAGCUUCUGGUUUGAAUAUCUCAGCAUGGAAUAAUAGAAAAAGACUUUCUAUUGGUUUGCCAGUGAAAGUAAUGAUUAACAGAGACAGACGGGGGCAUUCGUAUUGCACCGCUAGAGGUGAAAUUCGUAGACCGGUGCAGGACGAACUACAGCGAAAGCAUUUGCCAAGAAUGUUUUCAUUAAUCAAGAACGAAAGUUGGAGUAUCGAAGUCGAUUAGAUCUCGUCGUAGUUCCAACUAUAAACGAUGCCAACUAGCACUCCGCUGAUAAUGUCUUGUUACAUUAGCGGGGUGGUUUCCGGGAAACCAAAGUCUUUGGGCUCCGGGGGAAGUAUGGUUGCAAAGCUGAAACUUAAAGGAAUUGACGGAAGGGCACCACCAGGAGUGGAGCCUGCGGCUCAAUUUGACUCAACACAGAAAAACUCACCCGGGCCGAACACAGUAAGGAUUGACAGAUUGAGAGCUUUUUCUUGAUACUGUGGGUAGUGGUGCAUGGCCGUUGUUGGUUGGUGGAGUGAUCUGUCUGGUUAAUUCCGAUAACGAACGAGACUCAAACCUACUUACUAGUUGUGCGAUUCUGGUCGCCCAACUACUUAGAGGGAUCAGUGUGUAAAACACUUGAGAAUGAGCAAUAACAGGUCUGUGAUUGCCCUUAGACGUUCGGGGCUGCACGCGCGCUACAAUGGAGAAAGCAGUGGGUGCCUUGCUUGAGAAAGCAAGUCAAGCCUUAAAAUUUCUCCGUGGCAGGAAUCGAGGCUUGUAAUUAUUCCUCGUGCACAAGGAAUUCCUAGUAAUCGCAGGUCAUUAGCCUGCAAUGAUUACGUCCCUGCC
rnacentral:rRNA from 1 species